GUAGGUGGCAAGCGUUGUCCGGAAUUAUUGGGCGUAAAGCGCGCGCAGGUGGUUCUUUAAGUCUGAUGUGAAAGCCCCCGGGCUCAACCGGGGAGGGUCAUUGGAAACUGGGGAACUUGAGUGCAGGAGAGGAAAGUGGAAUUCCACGUGUAGCGGUGAAAUGCGUAGAUAUGUGGAGGAACACCAGUGGCGAAGGCGACUUACUGGCCUGUAACUGACACUGAGGCGCGAAAGCGUGGGGAGCAAACAGGAUUAGAUACCCUGGUAGUCCACGCCGUAAACGAUGAGUGCUAAGUGUUGGGGGGUUUCCGCCCCUCAGUGCUGCAGCUAACGCAUUAAGCACUCCGCCUGGGGAGUACGGUCGCAAAGACUG
rnacentral:rRNA from 1 species